rnacentral:rRNA from 1 species
UACAGAGGUCUCAAGCGUUGUUCGGAUUCAUUGGGCGUAAAGGGCGCGUAGGCUGCGGGGCAAGUCGGGUGUGAAAUCUCAGAGCUCAACUCUGAAACUGCACUCGAUACUGCUUUGCUUGAGGACUGGAGAGGAGAUUGGAAUUCACGGUGUAGCAGUGAAAUGCGUAGAUAUCGUGAGGAGGACCAGUGGCGAAGGCGGAUCUCUGGACAGUUCCUGACGCUGAGGCACGAAGGUCAGGGGAGCAAACGGG